GAUGAACGCUGGCGGCGUGCCUAAUACAUGCAAGUCGAGCGAACAGACGAGGAGCUUGCUCCUCUGACGUUAGCGGCGGACGGGUGAGUAACACGUGGAUAACCUACCUAUAAGACUGGGAUAACUUCGGGAAACCGGAGCUAAUACCGGAUAAUAUAUUGAACCGCAUGGUUCAAUAGUGAAAGACGGUUUUGCUGUCACUUAUAGAUGGAUCCGCGCCGCAUUAGCUAGUUGGUAAGGUAACGACUUACCAAGGCGACGAUGCGUAGCCGACCUGAGAGGGUGAUCGGCCACACUGGAACUGAGACACGGUCCAGACUCCUACGGGAGGCAGCAGUAGGGAAUCUUCCGCAAUGGGCGAAAGCCUGACGGAGCAACGCCGCGUGGGUGAUGAAGGUCUUCGGAUCGUAAAACUCUGUUAUUAGGGAAGAACAAAUGUGUAAGUAACUAUGCACGUCUUGACGGUACCUAAUCAGAAAGCCACGGCUAACUACGUG
rnacentral:rRNA from 1 species